GAGUUUGAUCAUGGCUCAGAUUGAACGCUGGCGGCAGGCCUAACACAUGCAAGUCGAGCGGUAACAUUUCUAGCUUGCUAGAAGAUGACGAGCGGCGGACGGGUGAGUAAUGCUUGGGAACAUGCCUUGAGGUGGGGGACAACAGUUGGAAACGACUGCUAAUACCGCAUAAUGUCUACGGACCAAAGGGGGCUUCGGCUCUCGCCUUUAGAUUGGCCCAAGUGGGAUUAGCUAGUUGGUGAGGUAAUGGCUCACCAAGGCGACGAUCCCUAGCUGGUUUGAGAGGAUGAUCAGCCACACUGGGACUGAGACACGGCCCAGACUCCUACGGGAGGCAGCAGUGGGGAAUAUUGCACAAUGGGCGCAAGCCUGAUGCAGCCAUGCCGCGUGUGUGAAGAAGGCCUUCGGGUUGUAAAGCACUUUCAGUCAGGAGGAAAGGUUAGUAGUUAAUACCUGCUAGCUGUGACGUUACUGACAGAAGAAGCACCGGCUAACUCCGUGCCAGCAGCCGCGGUAAUACGGAGGGUGCGAGCGUUAAUCGGAAUUACUGGGCGUAAAGCGUACGCAGGCGGUUUGUUAAGCGAGAUGUGAAAGCCCCGGGCUCAACCUGGGAACUGCAUUUCGAACUGGCAACUAGAGUGUGAUAGGGGGUGGGUAGAAUUUCAGGUGUAGCGGUGAAAUGCGUAGAGAUCUGAAAGGAAUACCGAUGGCGAAAGGCAGCCACCUGGGUCAACACUGACGCUCAUGUACGAAAGCGUGGGGGAGCAAACAGGAUUAGAUACCCUGGUAGUCCACGCCGUAAACGAUGUCUACUAGAAGCUCGGAACCUCGGUUCUGUUUUUCAAGCUACGCAUUAGUAGACCGCCUGGGGAGUACGGCCGCAGUAAACUCAAUGAAUUGACGGGGCCGCACAGCGGUGAAGCAUGUGUUUAAUCGAUGCAACGCGAGACUACUACACUGGACAUACAGAGACUACCAGAGAUUGUUGUGCUUCGGACUCUGAUACAGUGCUGCAUGCCUGUCGUCAGCUCGUGUUGUGAGAUGUUGGUUAGUUCCGCACGAGCGCUACUCCUAUCCUAGUGCUAGUCAGGAUAUGCUGAACCCUACGUACUGCGGUAUAACCGUCAGACGGUGGGACACACUCUAGGAUCCAA
rnacentral:rRNA from 1 species